UUUGAUGUCUGAUGCUAUGAUUUUGCCUUGCGGACACACUUUUGGAGCUGGUGGAAUGGAACAAGUUAAACAAAUGAAGGAUUUGAUCAAGUAACUCACUACUUCUCUUAGAAGGAUUCGAUUUGGAUCCAAAACUCGUUGUAUUCGAAAGACCCGGGAGAGAGGAAAAACAUGGAACCAAAUCAAUGUUUGGACUUUCCCACAUACUGAUGGGCCAGCAGCAGCACUCAUCAUGGGCCAAGGCAAGUCGCAGGCCCACUCCAGCAGCAACACCUGAUCACAUACACAACAUAUAUAUGAGAUGUUAGUAUGCUGAUUAGGUUAACGCUUAAGGAAAUCAAGCAGCGGCAACAACAAGUAAUCAUAUUGAAGUGCAAGAGUAGGAGGCAACAAUACAAGAUCAAUAAGCUUAGGCCUAAGUCUAAUUGAUCUAAGGGGCUU